AUCGGAGCUCCCCUCUUGCCACCAAGUCAGCCAAUCGGAGCUCCCCUCUUGUCACCGAGUCAGCCAAUCGGAGAUCCCCUCUUUUCACCGAGUCAGCCAAUCGGAGCUCCCCUCUUGUCACCCAGCCAGCCAAUCGGAGCUCCCCUCCUGUUACCCAGCCAGCCAAUCGGAGCUCCCCUCUUGUCACCCAGCCAGCCAAUCGGAGCUCCCCUCUUGUCACCGAGUCAGCCAAUCGGAGCUCCCCUCUUCUCACCAAGGCAGCCAAUCGGAGCUCCCCUCUUCUCUCCAACCCCUCUACUGAUUAAAUGUCAAUGUUGUAGACAGCGCGCGUGAGAAUCAGAUUAUUAGGCUAUUAAAGAUUAUAAUUAUUAUUUAUUAGGAGGGAUUAAUAAUCAUCCUCCGGUGAGUUUUAGCGGGCAGCAGCCAUUCCAAUAAAUUAAAAAGGAAUACAUUGUGCAUGGACAGAUGUGAUCACACAGUUCCGUUUUUCAAAGCUGGUAAAGGAUUUACUCACAGAACUAGUUUUUAAAAAAUGAUCGCUUAAUUGCGUGACAGGGGUCAGUUAUGGGGGCUUUUUUUACACCCGUGUUGUUUGAGUCGAUGCGCUGUAAGUAGGAUACAGUCAAUCUAAUAAACACAUGUACUGCCCUGACUCACGAGUAAAUCCUUUACCAGAUUUGUAAAAACGGAACUGUGCGAUCACAUUUCUCCAUGCAGAAUGUUUAUGCUGUUCUAUGUUGUGAAAAUAAAUAAAUGGUGUUUGUUUUAAAACAUAUUUUUGGUUGUACCAUUAAUUUACUAAGAGUAUACAAACAACACGAAACGAAUAUCAUGUGACACACUUGCAGAAAUUGAAUGUUAAGCAACUUUAAUGACGUGCAGUUGCGAAUCAUGACCACAAGGUGUCAGUAAUAGAUUGGAUAGUAACCCAGCUAACACAAUGAUGUGCCCAGAACGUUAGAAGAAUGUUAUUCGAAAGUCAGGAUAACAUGAAGUAAUUUGUAAAGAACAUUUCUUUGGAAGGUUUUCGUAAAGUUACGAGAACGUUCGUAACUAAUGUUAUGAAAUAACAUUGACGCUGCUUUCAGGUAACAUUGCCAACGACACAAAAUGAUUAAUUUAUUCCCAGUUAAUUAGGGUCCCUCUUGUAAAUGUACUCCCUAGUAUCCUACCCGCCAAUCUCCCGAUCCUGCUCUCCUACAGCAGCUGUCUCUUCAAUAAACACACAUCUUUCUUCAGGUGUUGUUAUUUUGAUAUAGUUUUGAGGCUGAAUAUUUCAGUCCAGGUUUGAAGCACUCAGUCUUCAUUACUGAUAUUUAAAUCCAGAAGAAACACAAUUACAAUUUAAAAAAAUAAAUAAAAAUCUGUGUUGAAGUAUUUGUAUUGGGGUUGUUCAUUUUAAAUGCCACGUGUUUACAAUUACCAGUUCUAGAUUAAACAGCAGAAAUAAUUUUACUGGCUUGCCAGACCCAAGAGCCUUUUCAUUUCACAGGCUAGCAGCCCACGUCAGUAUUUCAAAAAUAUUAUAUUUUCAUGCUUCUAGUGAAGAAUUGUUUUACUAUCAGUCAUAUUUUAAAACGGCCAGUUUCGAAAUAACCAAAGAAAACAACGAUUCUAAACCGGAACGUGCCUGAAGGAAUCAACUGUAGUUCUCUUUUAUAGCGGUUUAAAAUGUAUCUAAAAGUAUAUACGGGUGUUUGUAAUAAUUUAAUCACAGACGUAGAAAUAUAACCAAGAUUCACGACGACCAUUGUAUUGAUAGAGCAGUUGUUUAAAUAAAAGAGCAGCGUCAGUUUUGGAAAUGUCACAUUUUAUAUUUGUGUCAGUUUUUAGUUAAGUAAAUUUCAGUUAAGUGUAUUUCAGUAUGCUAACGUGACGUUUUUCAGCAGGUUUCAUUUGAUUUUAUGAUGCAGAAUUAGUUAACACUCAAUUCAGCCCCUCGACAGCAGUUCUACCAAAUGUCCACACGAGGGCAGCAUUGGAUAGGAAAUGAAAGCUAAAGCCUCGUCUGUCUCCCUGAAGUUCGCUACCAAUUGUAAAGAGCAGAGGACAGCUCAGCCGGAGGCGUGUGUCUGUGUGAAACGACUUUAUUUCAUGUGAUAAGUUUGUGGAAGAAGGACGCCAUGUUAGGAGACGUUUGCUAUUGUUUUACACAGACUACGAGGGACAGCGCUCGUUAAACCAGGUCUGUGAGGAUGAGAAGGUCUCCACAGUCUGGAGUCUGGUCUCUGACAGGCUCAACAUACCUGUCAAUCAACAGGGACUCCUCUACAAAGGCAAGGCGCUGGCAGAUGAGCACAGACUGUCACACGACUCCAUCGCUCCCGAUUCCAAGCUGAACUCGUUGUGACGCCCCCAACAGAGAAAGUGUCACCCGAGCAAGAACAGCACUCCGUGUCACCCCUCCUCUCAGACCUCACCCUCGCCUCACCCCUCCUGUCACACCUCACCCCUCGCCACACCCCUCCUCUCACACCUCACCCCUCGUCUCACUCCUCGCCUCAACCCUCCUGUCACCCCUCGCCCCUCCUCUCACCCCUCGCCUAACCCCUCCUCUCACUUCUCGCCUCACCCCGGGUCAGUGUGGCACAGCCUGCCUGCUCUUCUGAACAAACACUUCAGCCCUGCCGACGCAGUGAGAGUCUGGAGCAGCAACACAAGGAUUACGAACGGAGGCUGCGCUUAUUGAGCCUGGAUGAUAUGGAGCGGCUGGCGACCCGCAUGCUUCACCCUGAGGCUAUGGGGAGUGCAUGGAGCUGUCCUUCCUGGACUGAGCAAUACUGCUGCUGCCCUCUCCACCUCUCCCCUCUCUCCUCCCCCUCUCCUCCCCCUCUCCUUACUUUGUUUAAAAGAAUAGAAGCACACCCAGUGAGCAAGGUAUUGAGCAGCCCCACAUCCCGCUUCACAAUACCGCUACAUAUUGACUGACUGUUCGCAUUGUGUGUGUUUGGUAAGACAAACCACAUUUUCUACUUUCUGCUAUUUUAAAAGGAGCCCAGUUUGGUGCAGGAGGCUUGUGGGUAACAGAGUGUGUUUUUGCUGGGGACUGCAGCCCUUCCAUUACCAUUGCUCGUAGAGGGGAGAUUGUUUUACUUUCAAGCCUUUUUCUUUAAUAAAUCCGGACGUUUGGAAAUACA